ACUUAGUGAUAAUAAUGUAAUUUCGGGUUAAACUUCUAAUUUUCGGCCCGAUACUUUUAAAGCCCAAUUUUCUAUGAGUACUUAAGCAAAAACACAGCCUAGGUCAGAGAAUGUUUUUUUCACGCAAAAUAGAAAACAAAGGCUGCUUCAUUCUCAUGGAGAGCUAAUUCCUAGGUUGAUCCAUUGACAUACGGAAACAUCGUUCAUGACUUCUU
rnacentral:lncRNA from 1 species